GAUGAACGCUAGCGGCAGGCUUAAUACAUGCAAGUCGUGGGGCAGCAUGAGUAGCAAUACUUGAUGGCGACCGGCAAACGGGUGAGGAACACGUACACAACCUUCCUUCAAGCGGGGAAUAGCCCAGAGAAAUUUGGAUUAAUACCCCAUAAUAUAUUUGAUAAGGCAUCUUAUUAAUAUUAAAGCUUCGGCACUUGAUGAUGGGUGUGCGGCUGAUUAGAUAGUUGGCGGGGUAACGGCCCACCAAGUCUACGAUCAGUAGCUGAUGUGAGAGCAUGAUCAGCCACACGGGCACUGAGACACGGGCCCGACUCCUACGGGAAGCAGCAGUAAGGAAUAUUGGACAAUGGACGAAAGUCUGAUCCAGCCAUGCCGCGUGAAGGAUUAAGGUCCUCUGGAUUGUAAACUUCUUUAUAUGGGACGAAAAAGGGCAUUCUUGUUCACUUGACGGUACCAUAUGAAUAAGCACCGGCUAACUCCGUGCCAGCA
rnacentral:rRNA from 1 species